AACGAACGCUGGCGGCAGGCCUAACACAUGCAAGUCGAGCGCCCCGCCAGGGGAGCGGCGGACGGGUGCGUAACGCGUGGGAAUAUGCCCUUUGCUACGGAAUAGUCUCGGGAAACUGGGGGUAAUACCGUAUACGCCCUUUGGGGGAAAGAUUUAUCGGCGAAGGAUUAGCCCGCGUUGGAUUAGGUAGUUGGUGGGGUAAUGGCCUACCAAGCCGACGAUCCAUAGCUGGUUUGAGAGGAUGAUCAGCCACACUGGGACUGAGACACGGCCCAGACUCCUACGGGAGGCAGCAGUGGGGAAUCUUAGACAAUGGGGGCAACCCUGAUCUAGCCAUGCCGCGUGAGUGAUGAAGGCCUUAGGGUUGUAAAGCUCUUUCAGCUGGGAAGAUAAUGACGGUACCAGCAGAAGAAGCCCCGGCUAACUCCGUG
rnacentral:rRNA from 1 species